ACCGUGGAAAAUCUAGAGCUAAUACAUGCGAAAAACAACUCGUAGGUGCGGCAACGUAACUGCGGGUUAUGCAUUUAUUAGAUUAAGCCAAUCAAUGGUGCUAUGGGUAACUGUAGUAUUGUUGCAGUGGUGAGUCUGGAUAACUGUGCCGAUCGUAUGGCCUUGAGCCGGCGACGUUUCGAUUAAAUUUCUGCCCUAUCAACUUGUUGGUAAGGUAGUGGCUUACCAAGGUGAUAACGGGUAACGGGGAAUCAGGGUUCGAUUCCGGAGAGGGAGCCUGAGAAACGGCUACCACAUCCAAGGAUGGCAGCAGGCGCGCAAAUUACCCAAUCCAGACACUGGGAGGUGGUGACGAGAAAUACCAGGUCGUUCCCAAAAGGAUUCGACACUGGAAUGAGUGCAAUUUAAAAAUUUCAAUGAGUAACAACUGGAGGGCAAGUCUGGUGCCAGCAGCCGCGGUAAUUCCAGCUCCAGUAGUGUAUCCAAACGUUGCUGCGGUUAAAACGCUCGUAGUUGGACAAGAGAGUAGCUUGGUGCGGGCGGGGAGUGUUUUUACUUUAUGUGUAAUUCUUUUGGUGUGCAGAUCUGUCGUAAGAUGGGUUUGUGCAUUGAUUGGAUCUUGAGCAUAUUUGUAUCGCUUGUCGACCAUGCUGCCAGGCUACUUGUAAUGUUUCGUGAGAAUGUUACAUGAUCUUUAUUGUAUUGUGUAAUGUGUCUUACGUAGUGUGCCUUGAAUAAAUCAGAGUGCUCAAAGCAAGCUAUAGCUUGAAUGUUAAUAGCAUGGAACGAAUGUUUAGUGGAAGUGAGCUUGUUGAAUUCACUUGUGGGUUCGAUGGUUCACAGCAC
rnacentral:rRNA from 1 species